rnacentral:rRNA from 1 species
UCAUGGGUGUCCUUGUGUUGAUAGAUGAUCCUAAUCAAGAUUAACUAGUUGGUGGGUUAUGGGCCUUCCUAGGCACUGGCAUGAGUCGGACCUGAGAAGAUGAUCCGCCACACUGGGACUGAGACACGGCCCAGACUCCUACGGGAGGCAGCAGUGGGGAAUAUUGGACAAUGGGGGGAACCCUGAUCCAGCCAUGCCGCGUGUGUGAAGAAGGCCUUAUGGUUGUAAAGCACUUUAAGCGAGGAGGAGGCUCCUGUAGUUAAUACCUACAGUGAGUGGACGUUACUCGCAGAAUAAGCACCGGCUAACUCUGUGCCAGCAGCCGCGGUAAUACAGAGGGUGCGAGCGUUAAUCGGAUUUACUGGGCGUAAAGCGUACGUAGGCGGCUUAUUAAGUCGGAUGUGAAAUCCCUGAGCUUAACUUAGGAAUUGCAUUCGAUACUGGUGAGCUAGAGUAUGGGAGAGGAUGGUAGAAUUCCAGGUGUAGCGGUGAAAUGCGUAGAGAUCUGGAGGAAUACCGAUGGCGAAGGCAGCCAUCUGGCCUAAUACUGACGCUGAGGUACGAAAGCAUGGGGAGCAAACAGGAUUAGAUACCCUGGUAGUCCAUGCCGUAAACGAUGUCUACUAGCCGUUGGGGCCUUUGAGGCUUUAGUGGCGCAGCUAACGCGAUAAGUAGACCGCCUGGGGAGUACGGUCGCAAGACUAAAACUCAAAUGAAUUGACGGGGGCCCGCACAAGCGGUGGAGCAUGUGGUUUAAUUCGAUGCAACGCGAAGAACCUUACCUGGUCUUGACAUAGUAAGAACUUUCCAGAGAUGGAUUGGUGCCUUCGGGAACUUACAUACAGGUGCUGCAUGGCUGUCGUCAGCUCGUGUCGUGAGAUGUUGGGUUAAGUCCCGCAACGAGCGCAACCCUUUUCCUUAUUUGCCAGCACUUCGGGUGGGAACUUUAAGGAUACUGCCAGUGACAAACUGGAGGAAGGCGGGGACGACGUCAAGUCAUCAUGGCCCUUACGACCAGGGCUACACACGUGCUACAAUGGUCGGUACAAAGGGUUGCUACCUAGCGAUAGGAUGCUAAUCUCAAAAAGCCGAUCGUAGUCCGGAUUGGAGUCUGCAACUCGACUCCAUGAAGUCGGAAUCCCUGGUAAUCUCGGAUCAGAAUGCCGCGGUGAAUACGUUCCCGGGCCUUGUACACACCG